UAGAAAAGUUCCUAUUGCUUUUCUCUUCUUCACCUCCUUCCCUUUGCCAUAUAAGAGCCCUCUCUUAAGGCUAAAAAGGCAAUAAAACAAGCCCAAAACAUGUAUAGAUGAUUGGGUCACAAUUCACAGGCUCCUCCUUUCUUUUGCCUCUUCUCGAUCUCUAUCCAAUUAAUUAGAGCCCUUUCACUCUCUAAUUAAGGGACAGCAUGAGUGAGCAUGAUCACCAUCAUGAGAACAAGCAUGAAGGCCAUGAUGAUCAUGAUCAUCAUGAUCACCCCAUCAAGGCAUGUUGUUGUUGCGUAUGCUAUGCGUUCUCGUCCAUCACUAGAGGGGUAGGGAGGUGCCUCUUCGUGGCCUGUUACCCCGUGUUGCGGUGUUGUGGCCUCGAUGAGUACAAGCACCGCCACGCCGACCACCACCGGAGACACUUCCGAUGACGACGAUCGAUCGAUCGGAUUCAAAUUUGGCGACGAAUCGAUACUGUUAUCUUCUUUUCCUCUUUCUUUUCUUUCUGUCUUCUUUUUUUUUAUAUUUUUUUUUUUCUGGAGAAAUAUCCGUCGAUGCUGUUAAUAUCAUCGCGAUGGAUCUUCUGCGAAACUGUAAUGAAUUGGAUUAGGUUUCAUUUGGUAUUAGAAUGAAUUGUGAAAUGAUGAACAACAUGGGGUUAGGGGAUGGUAAUUGCAUGUGAUCUGCAUCCCAUUUUAGUUGAGUCCUUUUGUUUUUUUGUUUUUUUUUCUUUUGGGUGGUAGGUUGAGGUGUCAUUGUAUACCCAUCCUGCACUCAAAAGACUAUGGAAGUUUUAAGUUUCAACAUUUUGGAAUAUAAGCAGCACGUGUGGUUUGAAUCUUUA